AAGCGGGGGAUAACAUUCGGAAACGGGUGCUAAUACCGCAUAAUAUCUUCUUCCGCAUGGAAGAAGAUUGAAAGACGGCUCUGCUGUCACUUAUAGAUGACCUUGCGGUGCAUUAGUUAGUUGGUGGGGUAACGGCCUACCAAGACGAUGAUGCAUAGCCGACCUGAGAGGGUGAUCGGCCACAUUGGGACUGAGACACGGCCCAA
rnacentral:rRNA from 1 species